GAUGAACGCUGGCGGCGUGCCUAAUACAUGCAAGUCGAGCGAACAGACGAGGAGCUUGCUCCUCUGACGUUAGCGGCGGACGGGUGAGUAACACGUGGAUAACCUACCUAUAAGACUGGGAUAACUUCGGGAAACCGGAGCUAAUACCGGAUAAUAUAUUGAACCGCAUGGUUCAAUAGUGAAAGACGGUUUUGCUGUCACUUAUAGAUGGAUCCGCGCCGCAUUAGCUAGUUGGUAAGGUAACGGCUUACCAAGGCGACGAUGCGUAGCCGACCUGAGAGGGUGAUCGGCCACACUGGAACUGAGACACGGUCCAGACUCCUACGGGAGGCAGCAGUAGGGAAUCUUCCGCAAUGGGCGAAAGCCUGACGGAGCAACGCCGCGUGAGUGAUGAAGGUCUUCGGAUCGUAAAACUCUGUUAUUAGGAAAGAAAAAAUGUGUAAGUAACUAUGCACGUCUUGACGGUACCUAAUCAGAAAGCCACGGCUAACUACGUG
rnacentral:rRNA from 1 species